AACAAUUAAAAACCAAUUGUUCAGAGAACAAUUGAAGGUCUUUCCACCAAUAAGGAUCUAUUUUGAUAUGAAAAUAUUAAAAUUCAGUUGAAAAUGUCAGUUCCUAUGGCUUAAUGAUGUAUAAAUAUGAAUUUUGGGCAAAGGUCAAAAUCUAGAACGUCAAAUUUACUGAUGACCUUGACCUAUAUUUCAAGGUCAUAAACCAGGGACCCCAAAUAAAAAGAUCCUAGGUCUGUAAUAUGUAUAGUUAAUGAGUUAUAUCACUUUACGUUUAAUUCUUAAUAUAGGAGGGGCAAAAACUUCCAUUUUAUGUCUACACA
rnacentral:lncRNA from 1 species